rnacentral:rRNA from 1 species
UACGUAGGCAGCGAGCGUUGUUCGGAGUUACUGGGCGUAAAGGGUGUGUAGGCGGUUCUCUAAGUUUGGUGUGAAAUCUCCCGGCUCAACCGGGAGGGUGCGCCGAAAACUGGAGGGCUAGAGUGCGGGAAGGGAGAGUAGAAUUCCUGGUGUAGCGGUGAAAUGCGUAGAUAUCAGGAGGAACACCGGUGGCGAAGGCGGCUUCCUGGACCGACACUGACGCUGAGGCGCGAAAGCUAGGGGAGCAAACGGG